rnacentral:rRNA from 1 species
UGUCGUCAGCUCGUGUUGUGAAAUGUUGGGUUAAGUCCCGCAACGAGCGCAACCCUUAUCCUUUGUUGCCAGCGGUCCGGCCGGGAACUCAAAGGAGACUGCCAGUGAUAAACUGGAGGAAGGUGGGGAUGACGUCAAGUCAUCAUGGCCCUUACGACCAGGGCUACACACGUGCUACAAUGGCGCAUACAAAGAGAAGCGACCUCGCGAGAGCAAGCGGACCUCAUAAAGUGCGUCGUAGUCCGGAUUGGAGUCUGCAACUCGACUCCAUGAAGUCGGAAUCGCUAGUAAUCGUGGAUCAGAAUGCCACGGUGAAUACGUUCCCGGGCCUUGUACACACCGCCCGUCACACCAUGGGAGU